GACGAACGCUGGCGGCGUGCUUAACACAUGCAAGUCGAACGAUGAAGCCGGAGCUUGCUCUGGUGAAUUAGUGGCGAACGGGUGAGUAACACGUGAGUAACCUGCCCUUGACUCUGGGAUAACUGCGGGAAACUGUAGCUAAUACCGGAUACGACCCUCGGAGGCAUCUCCUGGGGGUGGAAAGAAUUUCGGUCAAGGAUGGACUCGCGGCCUAUCAGCUAGUUGGUGAGGUAAAGGCUCACCAAGGCGACGACGGGUCGCCGGCCUGAGAGGGUGACCGGCCACACUGGGACUGGGACACGGCCCAGACUCCUACGGGAGGCAGCAGUGGGGAAUAUUGCACAAUGGGCGCAAGCCUGAUGCAGCAACGCCGCGUGAGGGAUGACGGCCUUCGGGUUGUAAACCUCUUUUAGCAGGGAAGAAGCGAGAGUGACGGUACCUGCAGAAAAAGCACCGGCUAACUACGUGCCAGCCGCCGCCGUAA
rnacentral:rRNA from 1 species